rnacentral:lncRNA from 1 species
AAACUUACAAAACAAAAAAAAAACACAAAGAUACUUCCUUUAAUAAUUUGAAGGUAAAAUCCUAAUAUAUCAUAAAGUAUUUCUUAUAACAUAAUAUACCUUGUAAAGAGACCUAAAACUUAUGGUUGCUUUAGAAUAUCACUUUCCCCACAUCUUACAAGAUUAACCGGCAUGACUGAACUUUUCAUGUACAUCAAGAAAAAGUAGAUUUUAAAUGAAAUAUACCUAUACGUAACAUUCUUGUGGAACUCCACAUGGCCAUCGACCUUCAGUUCUAUAGCUUGAUCUUUCAGUUUCUGCAGCCUCAUUUCAUCAGCCUCAUUCCGACAACUACCGACAAAUUGAAGUUUUGGCGUUGGCAAGGCUGAAUC